AUUGAACGCUGGCGGCAUGCCUUACACAUGCAAGUCGAACGGUAACAGGUCUUCGGACGCUGACGAGUGGCGAACGGGUGAGUAAUACAUCGGAACGUGCCCAGUCGUGGGGGAUAACUACUCGAAAGAGUAGCUAAUACCGCAUACGAUCUGAGGAUGAAAGCGGGGGACCUUCGGGCCUCGCGCGAUUGGAGCGGCCGAUGGCAGAUUAGGUAGUUGGUGGGAUAAAAGCUUACCAAGCCGACGAUCUGUAGCUGGUCUGAGAGGACGACCAGCCACACUGGGACUGAGACACGGCCCAGACUCCUACGGGAGGCAGAAGUGGGGAAUUUUGGACAAUGGGCGCAAGCCUGAUCCAGCAAUGCCGCGUGCAGGAUGAAGGCCUUCGGGUUGUAAACUGCUUUUGUACGGAGCGAAAGGGUCUCUUCUAAUACAGGAGGCCCCUGACGGUACCGUAAGAAUAAGCACCGGCUAACUACGUGCCAGCAGCCGCCGUAA
rnacentral:rRNA from 1 species